CCUACGGGUGGCAGCAGUGGGGAAUAUUGCACAAUGGGCGCAAGCCUGAUGCAGCCAUGCCGCGUGUGUGAAGAAGGCCUUCGGGUUGUAAAGCACUUUCAGCGGGGAGGAAGGCGGUGAGGUUAAUAACCUCAUCGAUUGACGUUACCCGCAGAAGAAGCACCGGCUAACUCCGUGCCAGCAGCCGCGGUAAUACGGAGGGUGCAAGCGUUAAUCGGAAUUACUGGGCGUAAAGCGCACGCAGGCGGUCUGUCAAGUCGGAUGUGAAAUCCCCGGGCUCAACCUGGGAACUGCAUUCGAAACUGGCAGGCUAGAGUCUUGUAGAGGGGGGUAGAAUUCCAGGUGCAGCGGUGAAAUGCGUAGAGAUCUGGAGGAAUACCGGUGGCGAAGGCGGCCCCCUGGACAAAGACUGACGCUCAGGUGCGAAAGCGUGGGGAGCAAACAGGAUUAGAUACCCGAGUAGUC
rnacentral:rRNA from 1 species